CAAUAGCGUAUAUUAAAGUUGUUGCAGUUAAAAAGCUCGUAGUUGGAUUUCAGAAUGCGCGUUACUUUUGUUUACCAUUUUGGUACAAUUGUGAGUCGAUUGCAUUCUUCUUUCUUGAAGACGUUGUAUGCUCUUAACUGAGUGUAUAUAUGGAUUCAGGACAUUUACUUUGAAAAAAUUAGAGUGUUCAAAGCAGGCAUAUUUUUUAAUAAUCGCUUGAAUACAUUAGCAUGGGAUAAUAGAAUAGGACUUGGGUUCUAUUUUGUUGGUUUUCGAGGACCGAAGUAAUGAUUAAUAGGGAUAGUUGGGGGCAUUAAUAUUUAAUAGUCAGAGGUGAAAUUCUUAGAUUUAUGAAAGAUUAACUUCUGCGAAAGCAUUUGCCAAGGAUGUUUUCAUUAA
rnacentral:rRNA from 1 species